UACGGGGGGAGCAAGCGUUGUUCGGAUUUACUGGGCGUAAAGGGCGCGUAGGCGGUCGUGACAAGUCACUUGUGAAAUCUCCGGGCUUAACUCGGAACGGUCAAGUGAUACUGUCGGACUAGAGUACAGAAGGGGCAACUGGAAUUCUCGGUGUAGCGGUGAAAUGCGUAGAUAUCGAGAGGAACACCCGUGGCGAAGGCGGCUCUCUGGGACGGUACUGACGCUGAGACGCGAAAGCGUGGGGAGCAAACAGG
rnacentral:rRNA from 1 species